GGCAGCGUCAGCUGGGAGGGUGUGAAUUCUGCCGUUUGUGGAAAUACGAGAUAAGCGCUCCUCCUCCCCAGGACAGCAAUGUGGAGAGAGCAUUCACUGUGCUUUCCUACGCAUGGAAGCAGGGCCGGUGCCAGACUAUUUUGUGCCCUAGGCAAGUCCUCUAUUGGAAGGCCUCCUCUAUUUCAGAGAUGGGCGCCUUGCGUCCCUCCAGGUUUUCGGCCGACAACUUCCAUCAGCCUCCACCAUGGGCUAUGCUGACUAGGGCAGAUGCAAUUUGAGGACCAAAACGAUUGGAGGGCCAUCAGUUACCCACCCUGCUCUGUUUGAAGGGCUGUCCGGACCCAAUCCAGACUGAAGAUAGCAAAGCACAAGAAGCCAUAGCAAAAGAGACAAAGGGGCUUUGACGUUGCCCGUCAUCCAAGUUGAUCAGCAGACCGAGCUGCAAAUAGACACAUCCCCUGGUCCCAGUCUUCCCUACUAUGGUGAGAUAUAUUGCAUUUCUAUUUAAAUUAAAGUAAUUACUUCUAAA